rnacentral:pre_miRNA from 1 species
AUGGGAAUCUCCUGGGAUCUUGUUAAAAUGCAGAUUCUGAUAUAGAAGUUUUGGAGUGGAGGCUGAGAGUCUGCACUUCCAACAAGCUCCCAGGAGAUGCUGGU